rnacentral:tRNA from 1 species
AGUCUUAUAUUCAAUAAUGAUUUUAAAUUGCAAAUUUGAAGGAGACGUUUCGUCUAAGGCUU